rnacentral:lncRNA from 1 species
GUAAAAUUGUCUUCAGGUCAGUGUGUGCCUCUCUCCUGUUUUGUAGCAUUUUGAAUUUUCCAAAUCAUCCUUAUAUCUGUAAUGCUUAAAGAGGGGUGGAAGGGAGAAGGGUGGAGAGUUGUUUAAUCUGGAAGGGGCCCUCUGGGCCUUGAUGUGGAACUACAGCUCCUUUAUUCUGGUGGUUUGCGGUUGAGCUACGGUACUGCUGAGUGGUGGAGCAAGAGGCUCUGUUUCAUGUGUUACUUUAUGCAGUGUCUGUCUUCAGACUCUUCAAAAC